AUACGGAGGAUGCGAGCGUUAUCCGGAUUUAUUGGGUUUAAAGGGAGCGUAGGUGGGAUAUUAAGUCAGCUGUGAAAGUUUGGGGCUCAACCUUAAAAUUGCAGUUGAUACUGGUUUCCUUGAGUACGGUACAGGUGGGCGGAAUUCGUGGUGUAGCGGUGAAAUGCUUAGAUAUCACGAAGAACUCCGAUCGCGAAGGCAGCUCACCGGGCCGGAACUGACACUGGUGCUCGAAAGUGCGGGUAUCAAACAGGAUUAGAUACCCUGGUAGUCCGCACAGUAAACGAUGAAUACUCGCUGUUUGCGAUACACUGUAAGCGGCCAAGCGAAAGCGUUAAGUAUUCCACCUGGGGAGUACGCCGGCAACGGUGAAACUCAAAUGAAUUGGCGGGG
rnacentral:rRNA from 1 species